rnacentral:rRNA from 1 species
UACGUAGGUGGCAAGCGUUGUCCGGAUUUACUGGGCGUAGAGAGCGCGCAGGCGGUCGUGCAAGUCGCGUGUGAAAGCCCCCGGCUCAACUGGGGAGGGUCACGCGAUACUGCUCGACUCGAAGGCAGGAGAGGGAAGUGGAAUUCCCGGUGUAGUGGUGAAAUGCGUAGAUAUCGGGAGGAACACCAGUGGCGAAGGCGGUUCUCUGGGCCUUACCUGACGCUGAGGAGCGAAAGCGUGGGGAGCGAACAGG